GCCGAGCUUGGUAACGCUUGCUUGUGACCUGUGUGGGGGCUUGAAGGUGAUGGAACAUGGGGCUGGCUUGCAGAGUCGGAUCUGGAGUUGGUCCAAAUCUGGCUUGCCCGUUCCAAGCUAAGAGCUGAACCGAGGGGCUUGAGUGAAAACUUUGAGUCUCGUGGUUCCUAAAGUGGAGGGUAUUGCGUGAGGCUGGUUUCACAGAGCAGCGAAGACCUCCCUCUCUUAGCAGUGGAAGGAUAACAGGCUUGAUCCUCUCUAAUCCAACAUGGCUCAGUGAGCUGAUCCUAACUGGACCAUCAUCUUU
rfam:Gossypium raimondii chromosome 3, whole genome shotgun sequence.